CAACAGGGAAGAACAUCUUCCUCCCAUCUCCGAGGAGGAGGGGCCCUUUCUCACCCGACUCUGGGUACCAGGGCCCGAGGACCACCCAGAACAGAAGCCCAAGACAUUGGGAGGGGACCCCCAGAUGGCAGGCUGAGCACCCGGGAAACGAGAGUUGCUUGGGUCCCCAGCCCACCGGCCUCCUGCUUUGGUGCCAUGAAGCUGAGUCUGUCUGGACAUCUCAGCACAGGGGCUCCCAGCUGGGGCUCUGUGCCCAGACUUCAGAAUCCCACGUCAUGACUGCCCAGACGGGCCACUCCCACCAGACUCGCGAGCCAGGAAAGAAUGGGCGUGCCGUCAGGACGCAGGCCCCACUGUGCGUCAGGCUCUGGACGUGGGAUGACCGGCCAUCCCAGACACUCCCUCUGAAGACACUGGACACACUCUAAGAAGAAAUUAGUACAGCAGGGACCUCACAGAGACAGGAAAGACUCUCACCGAAGAGGAGCAGGAUGGUUAAUCUACAUGUCCACUUGGCCCGGAUGCCGUCCCCAGUUAUUCAAUCAAACCCUCUCCUGGUGUUGCUGUGAACACAUCGUGUCCAUGUGGUUCAAAUCUACAAUCAGUUAACCUAACUAAGGAGAGCAUCCUCAGUAAUGUGGGUGGGCCUCAUCCAAUCAGUUGAAGACCUU
rnacentral:lncRNA from 1 species